rnacentral:rRNA from 1 species
GAUGAACGCUGGCGGCGUGCCUAAUACAUGCAAGUCGAGCGAACAGAUAAGGAGCUUGCUCCUUUUACGUUAGCGGCGGACGGGUGAGUAACACGUGGGUAACCUACCUAUAAGACUGGGAUAACUUCGGGAAACCGGAGCUAAUACCGGAUAACAUUUGGAACCGCAUGGUUCUAAAGUGAAAGAUGGUUUUGCUAUCACUUAUAGAUGGACCCGCGCCGUAUUAGCUAGUUGGUAAGGUAACGGCUUACCAAGGCAACGAUACGUAGCCGACCUGAGAGGGUGAUCGGCCACACUGGAACUGAGACACGGUCCAGACUCCUACGGGAGGCAGCAGUAGGGAAUCUUCCGCAAUGGGCGAAAGCCUGACGGAGCAACGCCGCGUGAGUGAUGAAGGGUUUCGGCUCGUAAAACUCUGUUAUUAGGGAAGAACAUAUGUGUAAGUAACUGUGCACAUCUUGACGGUACCUAAUCAGAAAGCCACGGCUAACUACGUG